GCUCUUGGGCUAUUAGACAUAAAUUCACGAUUCAAAUUAUUACUAGUGCUACUUGUCCUAGCAGUGCUUCUUUCAUCAUUCAAUUUAAGUUCUUUCAACUUAUUAGUUAUAUUAAAUAUAUCUAAUUCUACAGAUGUAAGCGCUUUAAAGAAUGAAGAUUUAUUCAUAUUCAUUCUAAAAUUGUAAUAAUUACUGGUAUUUAAACU
rnacentral:lncRNA from 1 species